GUCUACAGUCAUACCACCCUGAACAUUCCCAAUCUCUUCUGGUCUCAGAAGCUAAGCAGGGUUGAGAUUGGUUAGUACUUGGAUGGGAGAAAAUAAGAAAGGAAAUCUGACA
rnacentral:rRNA from 1 species